GCAAGCCAGUAUCAAACCCUCUCCUGUUCACUCAGACUGCCAGAUUGUUCUUUAGCUUUAUGCAAGACUUUACAGCCUUCUUCCUUGGAUUGAUUAGCAGGUGCACACUCUCCUGGUAAAUGCUUCAGCCUUCUGUUCCUGACCUCGAGUUCUGCCUCUGUGUCCUUGGAUCCUGUCUGCUCCUCUCCUUGGCCGCUUGACAUUUCCUUGCGUCGAUCCAACAGUUGUUUACUACGGACUCCUUUCCUGGGGAGUGAACCAGCUAUCUCCUUGACUGCAUCCUCGGUCUGCUGCCCCACGUGGACACCCUACUCCACUGGAUCCAUGUCUGAAAGUGUGAGCACAGCCAUCAGAAGCUAUACAAGAUCACAGAACUUCAAGAUCAGCUUGAUGUGAGCUCUGCUGAAAAAAGCAUCGGCUAGUAUUUGAAAUGGAGCCGAAUGGAGGGGUGCUGCUGGUUCGCGCUGGGCCUGAGGAUACACAUCAUUGACGAGAGAGGGGGCUAUCGGAUCCGUAGUGCGCUGCGCAGAAAUAAAGCUGCUAGUGUCUUAUUGACUUUCUUGUUGGCUAAUAAAGGUUAAACAAGUAAACCUGUUAGUUGACAUCCCCGUGCCCCUAUUGGGGAAGGUUAAUGUACUGAGACCGGCCCUUGGGACUGAAGGUAGAGGUCUGUAAGUGAGUGUGCAGAGCGCAACUGGGAGGAAGACGGGUCACAGCACUUAUCGCCAUCGACCUCGGGUCAUUGGAGCCACUACAUAUAAAACUACCAGCAACUUUAAACAUCAACUCUCACUGGAUUUAUUUUGGCUGAAGUCUGCACGUUUGAUGAACUGUUCCCGUUUCUUUCAAGUGGAACAUACAAGAAUUUUUUUUUUUUUUUUUUUUUUAGUUUUACUGAUUUAGGUAUCUUUGUUUGCUUUGCCUUGCAUAAUAAAAACACACAUUUAUGAAAAAUCCAUUUUGGAUGCAAGUCAUGUCUAAUUAGUCUGAAUCUGCACAAAUAACUAGCAUUUGAAAGCGGUGUAUAUUUUUGUUUGGAUAACAGACUUAAAGCUCCAGGCUACAGUUCCCAAAUGUCCCUAUCCGCUAUCUGACACUCCCACACACCAGCAUGCACAAGCACACACACUGACAUUAUACAAAGCCAAUUUACAGCCCAGUGGAUCUCCAGAUUGUGUUUGCAGCAAAUUCCAAUUGGCGCCUCUCCAAAGCGCUACUGAACAUAUUCCCUGUCUCUGUUUUCUUUAUCGUCCUAUCAAGAUAUUUCCCCUGAUGGUGAGCCUGUUGCAGGUGGGAGAGAGAAAUUGAACGAAGCAGCCGAAGAAAAAGCCUGAUUCAGGGGGACAACGAGGCUCCACAGCUGAUAAUCCACUAAUUGAAAUGUGGGGUUUUGCAAUGAGGAAGACUGUGUGAGAGGACGGCAACGCAGAUAGAAAGAGAAUUAAGACGGGGUUGUUGAAAUGGGCGGGUGGAAUAAUCAAUAGCAGUUAGAGGAGUGUGUGUUGUGUCAGUCUAACAGCUUGUUCUUGUUCUAGGGGGACAAACCCAGACGUGAAAACUGCUCGGCAGAGCCCCAGCCAGAUUGACGUUCCACUUUAUUGAGAUUUAGUGGGUCUGCAUGGAUUUGAAUGAUCCUCAGCGCAGUCUGUCACUUGUCAUGGUAAUGAAUGGAAGAUGACAGGUUCACUGCUCACUGUCUCAGGCGCCAAAACUUUAUGACAAGGGCAGCCAAGAGAUCUAAAUAUGACAAUAUUUGCAGGGCUUGAAUCAUGAUGAGAAGGAAAGUAAGAGUGAUGGUGUCUUAGUAGAUAUGAUGUCGCACUGCCUCUAUAUUUAGAUUGAAAACCUUCAGUUGUUAUUAGGAGGUUGUUCCUGAGAUACAGAGAAACCAAACCGACUUAAGAUGAUCAGAGUUGGGCGAGGUUAAAACAUGAUUACUUACCAUCUGUGGGUCAUUAAAGGUUACAUCCUCCUCCUCAUCAACCAGUUUAAAUAAGUCUCAGAGCUCCCCAAAACAUGCGUGUGACGUUUCUUGUUCUAA